rnacentral:rRNA from 1 species
UACGGAGGGUCCAAGCGUUAUCCGGAUUUAUUGGGUUUAAAGGGUCCGCAGGCGGAAAAAUAAGUCAGUGGUGAAAUCCUAUCGCUUAACGAUAGAACUGCCAUUGAUACUGUUUUUCUUGAGUAUACUUGAAGUGGGCGGAAUGUGUCAUGUAGCGGUGAAAUGCAUAGAUAUGACACAGAACACCGAUUGCGAAGGCAGCUCACUAAAUUAUAACUGACGCUCAUGGACGAAAGCGUGGGGAGCAAACAGG